AUUGAACGCUGGCGGCAGGCUUAACACAUGCAAGUCGAGCGGGGUGAUGGUGCUUGCACUAUCACUUAGCGGCGGACGGGUGAGUAAUGCUUAGGAAUCUGCCUAUUAGUGGGGGACAACAUCUCGAAAGGGAUGCUAAUACCGCAUACGUCCUACGGGAGAAAGCAGGGGAUCACUUGUGACCUUGCGCUAAUAGAUGAGCCUAAGUCGGAUUAGCUAGUUGGUGGGGUAAAGGCCUACCAAGGCGACGAUCUGUAGCGGGUCUGAGAGGAUGAUCCGCCAGACUGGGACUGAGACACGGCCCAGACUCCUACGGGAGGCAGCAGUGGGGAAUAUUGGGCAAUGGGGGGAACCCUGAUCCAGCCAUGCCGCGUGUGUGAAGAAGGCCUUAUGGUUGUAAAGCACUUUAAGCGAGGAGGAGGCUCUUUUGGUUAAUACCCAGAAUGAGUGGACGUUACUCGCAGAAUAAGCACCGGCUAACUCUGUGCCAGCCGCCGCAGUAA
rnacentral:rRNA from 1 species